rnacentral:rRNA from 1 species
AACGAACGCUGGCGGCAGGCCUAACACAUGCAAGUCGAACGCCCCGCAAGGGGAGUGGCAGACGGGUGAGUAACACGUGGGAACGUGCCCUAAGGUUCGGAAUAUUCCCGGGAAACUGGGAGCAAUACCGAAUGUGUCCGCAAGGAGAAAGAUUUAUCGCCUUAGGAUCGGCCCGCGUCGGAUUAGCUAGUUGGUGGGGUAAAAGCCUACCAAGGCGACGAUCCGUAGCUGGUUUGAGAGAACGACCAGCCACACUGGGACUGAGACACGGCCCAGACUCCUACGGGAGGCAGCAGUGGGGAAUCUUGGACAAUGGGCGCAAGCCUGAUCCAGCCAUGCCGCGUGGAUGAUGAAGGCCCUAGGGUUGUAAAAUCCUUUCGUUGGGGACGAUAAUGACGGUACCCAAAGAAGAAGCUCCGGCUAACUUCGUGCCAGCAGCCGCGGUAAUACGAAGGGGGCUAGCGUUGUUCGGAUUUACUGGGCGUAAAGCGCGUGUAGGCGGGUCGUUAAGUUGGGGGUGAAAUCCCGAGGCUCAACC